rnacentral:rRNA from 1 species
AACGAACGCUGGCGGCGCGCCUAAUACAUGCAAGUCGAGCGAGAAGACGUAGCAAUACGUUUGUAAAGCGGCGAACGGGUGAGGAAUACAUGGGUAACCUACCCUCGAGUGGGGAAUAACUAGCCGAAAGGUUAGCUAAUACCGCGUACGCUCCUUGGACUUCGGUUCAGGGAGGAAAGCGAUACCGUAGGUAUCGCGCUCUUGGAUGGGCUCAUGUCCUAUCAGCUUGUUGGUGAGGAACGGCUCACCAAGGCUUCGACGGGUAGCUGGUCUGAGAGGACGAUCAGCCACACUGGCACUGCGACACGGGCCAGACUCCUACGGGAGGCAGCAGUAAGGAAUAUUGCGCAAUGGGCGAAAGCCUGACGCAGCGACGCCGCGUGGGGGA